rnacentral:rRNA from 1 species
UACGUAGGGUCCGAGCGUUGUCCGGAAUUACUGGGCGUAAAGAGCUCGUAGGUGGUUUGUCGCGUUGUUCGUGAAAACUCACAGUUCAACUGUGGGCGUGCGGGCGAUACGGGCAGACUAGAGUACUGCAGGGGAGACUGGAAUUCCUGGUGUAGCGGUGGAAUGCGCAGAUAUCAGGAGGAACACCGGGUGGCGAAGGCGGGUCUCUGGGCAGUAACUGACGCUGAGGAGCGAAAGCGUGGGGAGCGAACAGG